AUUGAAUGCUAGCGGGAGGCCUAACACAUGCAAGUAGAACGAGUGGCGGACGGGUGAGUAAUGUCUGGGAAACUGCCCGAUGGAGGGGGAUAACUACUGGAAAAAGUGGCUAAUACCGAAUACCAUUAGAUGUGCCCAGAUGGGAGUAGCUUGUUGGUGGGGUAACGGCUCACAAAGGCGCAGCUCCCUAGCUGGUCUGAGAGGAUGACGAGCCACACUGGGACUGAUACACGGUCCAGACUCCUACGGGAGGCAGCAUUGGGGAAUAUUGCACAAUGGGGGCAAGCCUGAUGCAGCCAUGCCGCGUGUAUGAAGAAGGCCGUCGGGUUGUAAAGUACUUUCAGCUGGGAGGCGUUACCCGCAGAAGAAGCACCGGCUAACUCCGUGCCAGCAGCCGCGGUAAUUC
rnacentral:rRNA from 1 species